AGAGCGAACGCUGGCGGCAGGCUUAACACAUGCAAGUCGAGCGGGCGUAGCAAUACGUCAGCGGCAGACGGGUGAGUAACGCGUGGGAACAUACCUUUUGGUUCGGAACAACCCAGGGAAACUUGGGCUAAUACCGGAUAAGCCCUUACGGGGAAAGAUUUAUCGCCGAAAGAUUGGCCCGCGUCUGAUUAGCUAGUUGGUGAGGUAACGGCUCACCAAGGCGACGAUCAGUAGCUGGUCUGAGAGGAUGAUCAGCCACAUUGGGACUGAGACACGGCCCAAACUCCUACGGGAGGCAGCAGUGGGGAAUAUUGGACAAUGGGCGCAAGCCUGAUCCAGCCAUGCCGCGUGGGUGAUGAAGGCCCUAGGGUUGUAAAGCCCUUUUCGGCGGGGAAGAUAAUGACGGUACCCGCAGAAGAAGCCCCGGCUAACUUCGUGCCAGCAGCCGC
rnacentral:rRNA from 1 species